UGGGAACUAUGGAAGAUAGUUCUCACCCCACUCUAUUUCCAGUGGUAGGUUCAGGGCUGCAGAGAGAGGACCGCGGCAAGGGCAUCGCGCCCGAUCAGUGAGGCCGUGGUAGUGUAGUAGCUUUCCCUUUUGCAUUAGUUGUAAUACACUGGGUCUUAGCAAAUUGCAAGAUUCGAGUGUUUGAUCUGUGUGUGGAGCCUUUCCACAGUUUUUGGAGGGUCGUUGAUAGUGUUCCGACCCCUGGCGCGCAUCCCGAGGAUGUUGGAGUGAGACUUGGCACCAAAAUCCAAAAAGUUGGAUUUUUGGUCAGCUCUCGGGUAGCCUUCAGCAGGCCGCGUACCGGUACGGGUUCGCUUGCUCUACCGGUACGGGAUUGAUGGCUGUACCGGUACGUGGUUGUGUACCGGUACACAGAGCAUUUCCCAGCGAACCCGAGGCUCGGGUUUGGCAUUUCGUGGGCAGCGUACCGGUACACAAACCCGUGUACCGGUACGCAGUGCAGAUUUUGACUGUUUCGUUGAGGGGUGUUUUUGCAAUUGUUGCAACGCCUAUAUAAGUCACCCCAGCCCUCUUGGCUGCUCUUUUGAGCCCUAGAACAGAGGAGAUAAGGUGAGAACUCCUCCCCUUUGGUCUCUUCUUCAUUUUUGUUGGGAUUUUUGCUAGUUUUGAUCUCUUUUCUCUUCUCCUUCUUGCUUUUGUGGGUUUUCCACCAUUGGAGAAGUGUGAGAUCUUGGUUGGAGCUUGUUUGAGGAUCAACCUUCAACCCUAGAGGACUUUGGAGCUUGGUUUGGAGCUUCUAAGAGGUUAGUAGCUAUUUCUCUCCUCUAGAUUCGGAUUUUGUUGGAUUUUACUAGAUCAAACCCUAGAUUUGGCAUUUUAGGGUUAGAUUUGGGGAUUCUCGUUUUGAGGGCUUUUGUAUCAAAUUGAUGGGUUUAGAACCUUUGUUUAGGUUAGAUUGGAAGGACUCUAGCUCCCAUUUGGAGAUUGUGAGAGCUUCCUUCGCAAUCGGUGAGUUUUCGUCUACCCUAGCCCUAUAUGCUUAAUGAUUGAGCUUAGCGUCGUUUGUUUCGACUAGAUGACACUUGUUCUUGUACCUCUAAGGUACUAGGAGACUAGAGGACACCCUCGUUGGAGCGCACGAGGAGUUUCGUUGUCAUCGGUGGGUUUGGCUUCCUUGGAAUCGGGGGAAAUUCCUCCUAAGUGGUUAUAUGCUUUCAUUCUCUUCGAAUUCAUGCAUAUUCAUGCUUAUUAGCAUUUAUGAGAGUUUUGAACGCUUAGAACUCAUUUGUUGUGCAUCAAGAAAAGUUACUCUAUAUAGUAGGGAGAGAGAGAGAGACAAUGUGCUUUGUUAAUAUGCAUGCGACAAAUAUUCUAUGAGAGGAUAGGAAAUCAAGUUUCAUGCUUCGGUUUUGACUAGAAUUGUAAGUUCUUGAACUUAGUAUCCAUGUUGGGACAAAAUGAGCCAUAGUGUCAUACAGAGGCACUUGGACUAGAGAAUUAUUAAACUGCAACAUAGAGACUUGAGAAUAGGCCACAUUGACAUCAACUAUAUUCCAUAUUUGAGAUAUGAUGAAAUAGUGACUUGGCCACGAGGACAUUUACUAUAUAUACCAUGUUAUUAGGCAUGAGGACUUGGUACUUGCGACUGAUCGUUUGACUACUUGCCAUUGUGCUCAUUCGCACAUGCUUGUGAGGGUCGCUCCCUACAAGCCGGCACUCCGGAGAUAGCCAUCGCGAUUCAUAUUCGCCGUGCGGGAUUGGGCGCCGAAGUGGAUUGCCAUGGGCCAGGCUCAUCCCUAGGCUGGGGGUGAUGACUACCACGGGGCCAUUAGGCUCGGCACCGGCCAGACAGCCUACGGGUGGGUCUCAGGGCCUUAGACAGCCUUCGGGUGGGUCUCUUCAGAUUUGACUUCGAGUAUUCAUGAUGACUUAGAGUAUUACUUGGACAUUGACUAGAAUAGUAAACAUCGGCAUUUUACUAUUUCGCAUUGUGAACAUUAUGAUAGUUGGAGACUAUUACUUCAUGCAUAGUUGCUUUCGUACUCAUGCUAUUUAUGCUAAGUGGAGACUUUAUGCUAUAGUAAGUUAUAUUUUACUUACCGUCUAAUUAUUACAUUGUUAGUCACUGACCUCUUCUUGUAGCUUUUGGGCCUUGUGGCGCAGUUCACUGAAGUCAGUAAUUGCCCACUGGGAACUAUUUUUAAUAGUUCUCACGCCCCUGUUUCUAUGUUUCCUUUUCAGAGCCUUCGGCACCGGCGGAGGCACGGGAUCGCGGCAAGGGUGUCGCGUAGCUAGCCGGGAGAGUUUCUUUUGCGCUAGGUGGUCGCUUUUUCUCCAUUUUAUAUUUUGAGAGAGCGUGAGGCUUUUGGUUUCCAUGUAUAGAAAGACCACCUGUGUACCUACUUUUAGCACUCGUUAUGGGAUCCCUAUUGUACUUACUUUAUGUUUUAUUUAGUGGAUUUACAGUUUUAACUUUAUCCCUUGUUGUAGCAAUUAGACAUUUACUAUGCUCUGAUACUUCUAGAUGUCUUGUAUUAUUGCUUUUAUUAUUGUUGUUUUUAGACGCCUUAUAUGUUGUAGACAUAUGGCGGGUCUGGGCACGCGCCGGGCGGGCUUCCGCUGGGUCCCGGGGCGUGACAGAUUAAUUUGGUAUCAGAGCCUAGGGUUGAGUCUUAGGGGACCUAGUAAACCUUAGGCCGGUUUGGACUAUAGGAAAUAGGCUCGUGAGAGACGAGGUCUAUUCGACUUGUAAGCGAAAGUAUCUAGAUUGGGUAUCUUGAAUAACUCUAGAAAGUGGAGUUAAAUUGAAGUGUAUAACUCCUAACUUCGCGGAGGGUUACGUUGGCGGCCGACAACGUAACAUCGGGAGUUAGUAGUGAAGAACACUUCUUACUUUCGCAUGAUUUGGGGUUUGUCUUUUGAGUGGGGAUGCGAUAGCGUGAGUAUUUCUAACUUGCGCUUUUAUGUUUUGUAGUGACGAUGCCGAUUACUCGCUCCCAAUCUGCCGGGGCGGACAAUGCGGCAAAUUUCGAGGAGGUUGAGACCUCCGCUACCUCCGGAUCCAGCGAGGUCCGUGAGUUGAGGGGCCAGCUUGCAGCCCUCACCGACCUAGUCACUCAGCAGGCGGAGGCGGCUCGACAGCAGACUGAGGCGGCGCGCCGACAGGAGGCGCGGAUGAAGCGCCUGGAGGAUCUACUUCUGCAGCAGGCAGCAGCUUCUAGGGAGACGCAGGGCCCUACACCGCCAGCACCAGUUGUGGAUGUUGCACCGAGAGCGCCGUCCCCCGCGCCCAGUUCUUCGCGUGCGGCGCCUGCGGCCGUACCCCAAGAGGAGGUUUUGGUAGCACCGCCUGUGCAGAGGCCCCCGGUUGGAGCAGCUUUCCCUACCUUGGUUGAGGGGGCGGAGCGAGAUAGACUGAUGGAGCGCCUCAAUGAGUUCAGGAGGUGCAGUCCCCGAGUCUUCGAUGGCGAGAAGGUCGACCACUGGAUCGUGGAGAAGUGGUUGAUGCAUAUGGAGAAGCUCUUUCGCGACACUUUCGUGGAGGAGAGGGACAGAGUUUGGCUCGCCACUCACCACUUGGACGGCGAGGCCUACCGCUGGUGGUUGGACUUUCAGGAGCACCCCAGCACUGACUUGGCAUCUAUCACUUGGACGAGGUUCAAGGAGCUUCUUCUGGCGCACUACUUCCCGACCAGCGUCAAGAGGAAGAUGGAGCAGGAUCUGCGCAGCUUGCGCCAGGGUGACCGGACUGUAGCCGAGUACGAGAGGGAGUUUUCUCGGCUUCUGCAUUGCGUGCCCUUCGUCGUGCGGGACGACGAGGACAAGGCCCGCAUCUUCGAGCGAGGGUUGAGACCGUCUAUCUUUCGGUUCGUGCAAUCCUCUAACCUCCAAACCUACCGGGAGGUGGUGGAUCGCGCGCUCAUUGUGGAGAGCGGCGCGGCAGAGGUCCAGGAGCAGCGAGAUGCUAGGGACAAGGGUAAGGCCAAGAGGCCUGCGGCUGAGGGUGCGAGCCAGACGCACUCUAGGAGGCCGCCGAAGCAUCCGAGGAGCCAGCACCGUGGACGCGGCUCAGCAGCACAGCGAGGAGGAUCCGAUCGGCGCCGGCCUUCCCCGUGUGUGAUCUGCGGUGGUCCCCAUUAUCCACCGCAGUGUCCACAGCGGGCGGGCAGGUGCUUCCAGUGUGGCCAGGAGGGCCACGUGCGUACCGAGUGCCCGAGGGGUUCGUCACCGGCACCGUCGACUGCAUCGGCACCGGCUCUACCAGCCGUCAGCCACGGGACUCCGUCGACACAGUACCAGCCUGGGCGGCCACCCGUCCAGCGCCAGAGCGAGGGAUCUCGACAGGCCCCGAGUGGGCGCAUGUACGCCGCUCAGACCGAGGAGGCGGCAGCAGCCGAGGAUGUGGUUGCAGGUAUCAUUUUACUUGAUGGCAUUAGAGUUCGUGCUUUAUUUGAUACCGGUGCAUCGCAUUCAUUUAUAGAUCGGCUGUUUGCCGAGUUGCAUGGCAUCCCUUUGGUUCCUUUGUUGCAUACGGGACAUGUAGUUGUACCCGACCACAUUUUGGAUAUUAGAGAGUUUAGCCCCAGUUGCCCCGUUCGGGUAGGAGAUUGGAUCAUGCCUAUAGAUUUGCUAGCUUUGCGCAAGCUGGGGGAUUUUGAUGUGGUCUUGGGCAUGGAUUGGUUGACUAAGUAUUAUGCCACGAUUGAUUGUAAGAAUCGCACGGUUACUUUUAGAGAACCGGGGCAGACUGAGGUGGUAUUUAGUGGAUGCCGGAGUUCACUGUUUGCGAUGACGAUCAGCUCGUCUCGAGCUAGGCAGCUAAUCAGCAGAGGUUGUGUAGCCUAUUUGGCUAGUGUCGUGCUGAGGGGCGAUGAUGACACCCCUAGGAUUGAGGAUAUCCCGGUGGUGCGGGAGUUUCAGGAUGUGUUUCCAGCUGAGCUACCGGGUAUGCCUCCUGAUAGGGAGAUUGAGUUUGUGGUAGAUCUCGUCCCUGGGACUACCCCAAUCUCAAAGGCACCCUAUAGGAUGGCACCGGCAGAGCUGAGGGAGCUGAGGGCACAGUUGCAGGAUUUGUUGGACAAAGGCUUCAUUCGACCGAGUGUGUCACCUUGGGGAGCCCCAGUUUUGUUCGUCAAGAAGAAGGACGGAUCACUUCGCCUUUGUGUGGAUUAUCGUGAACUUAAUAAGGUCACGAUCAAGAACAAGUAUCCGUUGCCAAGGAUCGACGACUUGUUUGAUCAGCUUCAGGGAUCAUGUGUGUAUUCCAAGAUCGACUUGGAGUCGGGAUACCACCAGUUGAAGAUUAAGCCCGAGGAUGUAUCGAAGACGGCUUUUAGAACACGGUAUGGACAUUAUGAGUUCACAGUUAUGCCGUUUGGGCUUACUAAUGCCCCGGCAGCUUUUAUGGAUCUGAUGAACCGUGUUUUCAAGCCUUAUCUAGACAGGUUCGUCGUGGUGUUCAUCGACGACAUUUUGGUCUAUUCUCGGAGUGAUGCAGAUCACGAGGAACAUUUGAGGGUUGUACUCCAAGUACUUCGGGAAAAGGAGCUUUAUGCCAAGUUGAAGAAAUGUGAAUUUUGGCUUCGAGAGGUGGCCUUCCUUGGACACUUGAUUUCAGGAUCAGGUAUAGCAGUGGAUCCCAAGAAGAUAGAAGCAAUCAAGGAUUGGCCGAGGCCGACGAGCGUCACGGAGAUACGGAGCUUCCUUGGAUUGGCCGGUUACUACCGGAGAUUUGUUGAGGGGUUUGCCAAACUGUCUACUCCCUUCACGAGGCUCACGCACAAAGGUGUUAGGUUCAUUUGGAAUGACGCGUGCGAGCGAAGCUUCCAAGAGUUGAAGCAGAGAUUGACGACUGCCCCAAUCUUGACCCUACCAGUAGCUGGAGCAGGGUAUGUGGUUUAUAGUGAUGCUUCACUUAAUGGUUUGGGCUGUGUAUUGAUGCAGGAUGGCAAGGUGAUCGCGUAUGCUUCUCUUCAACUAAAGGAAUAUGAGAAGAACUACCCGACGCAUGAUUUGGAAUUGGCGGCUGUAGUGUUCGCAUUGAAGCUAUGGCGCCACUAUCUUUAUGGCGAGCGGUGUGAAGUAUACAUGGAUCACAAGAGCUUAAAGUACCUGUUUACUCAGAAGGAGUUGAACCUGAGACAGCGCAGAUGGUUGGAGCUGCUCAAGGAUUAUGAUCUGACGAUUCUUUACCACCCGGGCAAGGCUAACGUGGUGGCGGAUGCGCUAAGUAGGAAAUCGAUGGAAAACUUAGCGAUGCAUGUUGUGACCCAACCGCAGUUGAUCGAGCAGAUGAAGCGGUUGGAGUUGGAGAUAGUGACUCCUGACACGCCUAUGAGGUUGAUGACAAUGGUGGUGCAACCUAUCCUGUUGGACAGAAUCAAAGAAAAGCAAGCUUCCGAUGUGGAGUUGCAAAAGAUUAGAGGAAAAAUGGUUGAUGGUUGCACCGGCGACUUCCUUUUGGACGAUCAUGGAUUGAUGCGUUUCCGCGGACGACUUUGUGUACCGGCGGACGUGGGCAUUAAAGAAGACAUUCUUCAAGAAGCACACCGAGCACCGUAUGCUAUACAUCCGGGUGGCACCAAAAUGUAUAAGGACUUAAAGUUGCUCUAUUGGUGGCCUGGGAUGAAAAAGGAUGUUGGCGAGUUUGUCGCUAGAUGCUUAACUUGCCAACAAGUAAAGGCUGAGCACCGAGUUCCCGCGGGAAAACUUCAGAGUUUACCUAUUCCCGUGUGGAAGUGGGAGAAAAUCACCAUGGAUUUUGUGACAGGAUUGCCACGCUCACAGGCGGGGCAUGACGCUAUUUGGGUGAUCGUGGAUAGGUUGACGAAGUCGGCGCACUUCAUACCUAUUCAUACGACUUGGACCGGAGAGAAGCUCACACAAGUGUACCUUGAUGAGAUUGUGCGACUUCAUGGAGUGCCUACCUCGAUUGUAUCUGAUCGAGACACCCGGUUUGUGUCUCACUUUUGGAGGAGUCUGCAGGACGCCCUAGGCACUCGCCUGGACUUCAGUACAGCAUUCCACCCGCAGAGUGAUGGACAGUCGGAGCGCACUAUUCAGACCCUAGAGGAUAUGCUCCGGGCUUGUGUGAUAGACUUCCAGGGAGGAUGGUCACAGCAUCUACCUAUGGCGGAGUUUGCUUAUAACAACAGUUAUCAAGCAAGCAUCAAGAUAGCGCCCUUCGAAGCACUUUAUGGACGGAAGUGUAGAUCGCCACUUCAUUGGAGUGAAGCCGGCGAGAGUUUGGCUCUAGGCCCUGAUGUGCUCCAGGAAGCUGAGGACAAGGUUCGAAUUGCUCGGGAGCGACUUUUGACGGCGUAGAGUAGACAGAGGAGCUACGCCGAUCGACGACGGCGAGACUUGGAGUUCCAAGUUGGAGACCAUGUUUUCUUGAAGGUCUCGCCAACGAGAGGAAUCAAGAGAUUCGGGAUUCGGGGAAAGUUGAGCCCCUGUUUCAUUAGACCGUAUGAGAUCUUGGACCGUGUAGGUCCGGUAGCGUAUCGACUUGCUCUACCACCGAACCUAUCCGGCGUGCACAACGUCUUUCAUGUAUCGGUCCUUCGAAGGUACAUUCAUGAUCCAGCUCAUGUUUUGGAAGCUGUACCAGUGGAACUGCGCGAGGAUUUGAACUUCGAGGAGCAACCCGUGAAGAUUUUGGCUCGCGAGGUGAAGAAGCUGCGGAAUCGGGAUAUUCCGUAUGUAAAGGUCCUUUGGAGCAACCACGGGGAGCGGGAGGCCACGUGGGAGCUGGAGAGCGCCUUGCAGGAGCACUAUCCCCAUCUUUUUCAGAUGGAGUUCUGAGGUUUGACGUUGCUUUCGAGUUUCGAGGACGAAACUCCUUUUUAGGAGGGGUGAAUGUGACGCACUGGACCUUUGCAAAUUGCGAGGUUCGAGUGUUUGAUCUGUGUGACGAGCCAUCUCAGACUUUCUGAAGGGUCGUAGACAGUGUUCCGACCCAUGGUUCGAGUCCCGAGAAUUGUGGUUUGAAACGGUGUACCAAAAUCCAAAAGGUUGGAUUUUUGGUUAGCUCUCGGGUUGCCUUCAGCGGGCUGCGUACCGGUACGGGUUCGCUUGCUGUACCGGUACGUGAUCGAUGGCUGUACCGGUACGUGGUGGUGUACCGGUACACAGACAAUUUCCCCAGCAAACCCGAGGCUCGGGUUUGGCAUUUCGUGGGCAGUGUACCGGUACACAAACCCGUGUACCGGUACGCAGUGCAGAUUUUGACUGUUUCGUAGAGGGGUGUUUUUGCAAUUGUUGCAACGCCUAUAUAAGUAACCCCAGCCCUCAUGGCUGCUCUUUUGAGCCCUAGAACAUAGAAGAUAAGGUGAGAACUCCUCCCCUUUGGUUUCUUUUUCAUUUUUGUUGGGUUUUUGCUAGUUUUGAUCUCUUUUCUCUUCUCCUUCUUACUUUUUGUGGGUUUUCCACCAUUGGAGAAGUGUGAGAUCUUGGUUGGAGCUUGUUUGAGGAUCAACCUUCAACCCUAGAGGACUUGGGAGCUUGGUUUGGAGCUUCUAAGAGGUUAGAAGCAAUUUCUCUCCUCUAGAUUCGGAUUUUGUUGGAUUUUACUAGAUCAAACCCUAGAUUUGGCAUUUUAGGGUUAGAUUUGGGGAUUUUCGUUUUGAGGGCUUUUGUAUCAAAUUGAUGGGUUUAGAACCUUUGUUUAGGUUAGAUUGGAAGGACUCUAGCUCCCAUUUGGAGAUUGUGAGAGCUUCCUUCGCAAUCGGUGAGUUUUUGUCUACCCUAGCCCUAUAUGCUUAAUGAUUGAGCUUAGCGUCGUUUGUUUCGACUAGAUGACACUUGUUCUUGUACCUCUAAGGUACUAGGAGACUAGAGGACACCCUCGUUGGAGCGCACGAGGAGUUUCGUUGUCAUCGGUGGGUUUGGCUUCCUUGAAAUUGAGGAAAUUCCUCCUAAGUGGUUAAAUGCUUUCAUGCUCCUUAAAUUCAUGCAUAUUCAUGUUUAGUAGCAUUUAUGAGAGUUUUUGAAUGCUUAGAACUCAUAUGUUGUGCAUCAAGAAAAUUUACUCUAUAUAGUAGAGAGAGAGAGACAAUGUGCUUUGUUAAUAUGCAUGCGACGAAUAUCCCAUGAGAUGAUAGGAAAUCAAGAUUCAUGCUUCGAUUUUGACUAGAACUAUAAGUUCUUGAACUUAGUAUCCAUGUUGGGACAAAAUGAGCCAUAGUGUCAUAAAGAGGCACUUGGACUAGAGAAUUAUUAAACUGCAACAUAGAGACUUGAUAAUAGGCCACAUUGUCAUCAACUAUAUUCCAUAUUUGAGAUAUGAUGAAAUAGUGACUUGGCCA
rnacentral:lncRNA from 1 species